UAACGCGUGGAUAACCUGCCAUAUACAGGGGGAUAACACUUAGAAAUAGGUGCUAAUACCGCAUAAGCGCACAGCUUCGCAUGAAGGAGUGUGAAAAACUAAGGUGGUAUAUGAUGGAUCCGCGUCUGAUUAGCCAGUUGGUGAGGUAACGGCUCACCAAAGCGACGAUCAGUAGCCGGCCUGAGAGGGCGGACGGCCACAUUGGGACUGAGACACGGCCCAGACUCCUACGGAAGGCAGCAG
rnacentral:rRNA from 1 species